rnacentral:misc_RNA from 1 species
UAUUCUCACAUCAAACUCAAUUUGUUUUGAGCUUUGAAAGUGGAUGUGGAGGUUGCGGGACUCGUAAGAGAUCGGCUCCUCUGAAAUACAUUAGUUAACUGAACCGUGGUUCAAGUGCUUCAGACGUGAUAAUUGUCAUCGUUUGUAUAAUGCCUUGGAUGUUAAACCGAAGUUAGCUUCUAACUGUCUCUUAACUGAGACUACUCUUCGGAGUACUGUAAUGACUA